rnacentral:sRNA from 1 species
AGACUGUGGGUAAUCAGGCCACAACAUCUGCCACUCUACUGAAUGUUAGCAUUGAUUCAGAGUCUAGCUGGCCAGGUGAGUAGCCCUUUUCUUCCUCACUGCUCUGUGUGUACCCUUCCUGAAGCUGCAAGCUAAGUGGAAGAGAACAAACUUCCUCCUUUGUGGUGGCUUGAAUAGGGAUGUCCCUCCCACACACACACACCCCAGACUCAAGCAUUUGAAUGCUAGGUGUG